rfam:Triticum aestivum genome assembly, contig: Triticum_aestivum_CS42_TGACv1_scaffold_344129_4DL
CUUCUACUCCAUCCGUCCCAAAAUUCUUGUCUUAAAUUUGUGUAAAUACGGAUGUAUCAAGUCACGUUUUAGUAUUAGAUACAUCCGUAUCUAGACAAAUAUAAGACAAGAAUUUUGGGACGGAGGGAGUAGUUA